rnacentral:rRNA from 1 species
UGGGGAAUAUUGGACAAUGGGCGCAAGCCUGAUCCAGCCAUGCCGCGUGUGUGAAGAAGGCCUUCGGGUUGUAAAGCACUUUCAGCGAGGAGGAAGGGAGUUGUGUUAAUAGCACAGCUUCUUGACGUUACUCGCAGAAGAAGCACCGGCUAACUCUGUGCCAGCAGCCGCGGUAAUACAGAGGGUGCAAGCGUUAAUCGGAAUUACUGGGCGUAAAGCGCACGUAGGCGGUUUUUAAGUCAGAUGUGAAAGCCCCGGGCUCAACCUGGGAAUUGCAUUUGAAACUGGAAAACUAGAGUGUGUGAGAGGGGGGUAGAAUUCCAAGUGUAGCGGUGAAAUGCGUAGAGAUUUGGAGGAAUACCAGUGGCGAAGGCGGCCCCCUGGCACAACACUGACGCUCAUGCACGAAAGCGUGGGGAGCAAACAGGAUUAGAUACCCAAGUAGUCCCUGAGCGGGCUGGCAAGGCGCAU